GAGAAGUGUUUUGGAUUAUUGAUGAAAUGUACGAUGCAAAAUUCGGAUAUAUUACUAUGUUUGAGCUAUAUUUGAGCCUUGUUUUAAUUUCAGAGAGGAUGAAAUAAAAAGCCAUACUACCUGUGAAUAUUUUAAGGAAUGUACGGAUGCUUUGCCACUACUUCCCGACAAGAAAGUGUGUGCCGAGCAUGAUGUCACCUUUGACACUAUCGAAGAGAUGGAAUGCGCCAAUAUGACAUUUGUUCACGAAGGCGAAUGUAAUUAAUGGAGAACAGAUAUACCUUCAGUAAGAAGAAAUAAAUGUCACGGUAUAUCAACACAGCAAAACGGCAGGAAGGAGUGGUUGAUUGUCAUCCAUGCUACAUAUGGGCGCAAUACACGCUAAAUCCUGUUUUUCGUAAAAGCUGAAUAAUAUGUCAAUCACUUUAUGCAGGGCGUACUAUCGAUACAUGUACUGUGAUGAAUGAUAGACUGGUAAAGUCUGACACACAUGUAUUUUUGAAUAGACGCAAUUUUUUAAUACUGAAAUUGAAUCCCGAACUGAUAAAAUAAAUAAAAGAUAUCUGGUG